rnacentral:rRNA from 1 species
UACGAAGGGUGCAAGCGUUAAUCGGAUUUACUGGGCGUAAAGGGCGCGUAGGCGGUCAGCACAAGUCAGUUGUGAAAUCUCCGAGCUUAACUCGGAAAGGUCAACUGAUACUGUGCGACUAGAGUGCAGAAGGGGCAACUGGAAUUCUCGGUGUAGCGGUGAAAUGCGUAGAUAUCGAGAGGAACACCUGCGGCGAAGGCGGGUUGCUGGGCUGACACUGACGCUGAGGCGCGAAAGCUAGGGGAGCGAACGGG